GACGAACGCUGGCGGCGUGCUUAACACAUGCAAGUCGAACGGAAUUUUCCUGGUUUUGUGCGGUACUUUAGUGGCGAACGGGUGAGUAACACGUGAGUAACCUGCCUUUGACUUUGGGAUAACUUCAGGAAACUGGGGCUAAUACCGGAUAACAUUUCCUACUGCAUGGCGUUCGUUUGAAAGGUUCGGCGUUUGUGGUUGUUCGCGCGGCUAAUCCGCCUGUUGGUGGGGUUGUGGCUUACCAAGGCUUUGACGGGUAGCCGGCCUGAGAGGGUGACCGGCCACAGAGGGAGAGAGAAAGGGGCAGGAGGCAUACGGGAGGAAGGAGUGGGGAAUAGUGGAAGAAGGGCGGAGGCCGGAUGGAGCAACGCCGCGUGCGGGAUGACGGCCGUCGGGUUGUAACCCGCUUUCGCCGGUGAGGAAGCGUGAGUGACGGUAAUGGGUAAAGAAGCAACGGCUAACUACGUG
rnacentral:rRNA from 1 species